rnacentral:rRNA from 1 species
GACGAACGCUGGCGGCGUGCUUAACACAUGCAAGUCGAACGGAAAGGCCCUGCUUUUGUGGGGUGCUCGAGUGCGAACGGGUGAGUAACACGUGAGUAACCUGCCCUUGACUUUGGGAUAACUUCAGGAAACUGGGGCUAAUACCGGGUAGGAGCUCCUGCUGCCUGGUGGGGGUUGGAAAGUUUCGGCGGUUGGGGAUGGACUCGCGGCUUAUCAGCUUGUUGGUGGGGUAGUGGCUUACCAAGGCUUUGACGGGUAGCCGGCCUGAGAGGGUGACCGGCCACAUUGGGACUGAGAUACGGCCCAGACUCCUACGGGAGGCAGCAGUGGGGAAUAUUGCACAAUGGGCGGAAGCCUGAUGCAGCAACGCCGCGUGCGGGAUGACGGCCUUCGGGUUGUAAACCGCUUUCGCCUGUGACGAAGCGUGAGUGACGGUAAUGGGUAAAGAAGCACCGGCUAACUACGUG